rnacentral:rRNA from 1 species
CCUACGGGAUGCAGCAGUGGGGAAUAUUGCACAAUGGGGGAAACCCUGAUGCAGCGACGCCGCGUGAGUGAAGAAGUAUUUCGGUAUGUAAAGCUCUAUCAGCAGGGAAGAAAUAGCGACCUUUGGGUCGCCAGACGGUACCUGAUUAAGAAACCCCGGCUAACUACGUGCCAGCAGCCGCGGUAAUACGUAGGGGUCAAGCGUUCUCCGGAGUUACUGGGUGUAAAGGGAGCGUAGACGGAAGCGCAAGUUUGAAGGGAAAUGCCGGGGCUUAACCCCGGAACUGCUAUGGAAACUGGGUAGCUAGAGUGCAGGAGAGGUAAGUGGAAUUUCUAGUGUAGCGGUGAAAUGCGUAGAUAUUAGGAGGAACACCAGUGGCGAAGGCGGCUUACUGGACUGUAACUGACGUUGAGGCUCGAAAGCGUGGGGAGCAAACAGGAUUAGAUACCCGGGUAGUC